rnacentral:tRNA from 1 species
UCUGUGGUGGUCUAGUGGUUAGGACUCCAUGCUCUCACUGUGAAGGGCCCAGGUUCAACCCCUGGUCAGGGGA